rnacentral:rRNA from 1 species
AUACGUAGGGAGCGAGCGUUGUCCGGAAUUACUGGGCGUAAAGGGCGCGUAGGCGGCGCUUCAAGUCGUCUGUCAAAUGGAAGGGCUUAACCCUUUUUCGCAGGCGAAACUGGAGAGCUUGAGAAGCAGAGAGGCAAACAGAAUUCCUGGUGUAGCGGUGAAAUGCGUAGAUAUCAGGAAGAAUACCAGUGGCGAAGGCGGUUUGCUGGCUGCAUACUGACGCUGAAGCGCGAAAGCCAGGGGAGCGAACGGGAUUAGAUACCCCGGUAGUCCUGGCAGUAAACGAUGUAUGCUGGGUGUGAGACUAGCGAUAGUUUCGUGCCGAAGUUAACGCGAUAAGCAUACCGCCUGGGGAGUACGGUCGCAAGAUUGAAACUCAAAGGAAUUGACGGGG